GGCAGCGAGGCUCAGUGGCAAGAGCAUGAGCUUGGGAAUCAGAGGACCCGGGUUCUAAUCCUGGCUCCGCCA
rnacentral:tRNA from 1 species